rnacentral:rRNA from 1 species
AAACUNUCUGACUUGAGUGCAGAAGGGGAGAGUGGAAUUCCAUGUGUAGCGGUGAAAUGCGUAGAUAUAUGGAGGAACACCAGUGGCGAAAGCGGCUCUNUGGUCUGUCACUGACGCUGAGGCUCGAAAGCGUGGGUAGCGAACAGGAUUAGAUACCCUGGUAGUCCACGCCGUAAACGAUGAGUGCUAGGUGUUAGGCCCUUUCCGGGGCUUAGUGCCGGAGCUAACGCAAUAAGCACUCCGCCUGGGGAGUACGACCGCAAGGUUGAAACUCAAAGGAAUUGACGGGGGCCCGCACAAGCGGUGGAGCAUGUGGUUUAAUUCGAAGCAACGCGAAGAACCUUACCAGGUCUUGACAUCCCGAUGCUAUUCUUAGAGAUAGGAAGUUACUUCGGUACAUCGGAGACAGGUGGUGCAUGGUUGUCGUCAGCUCGUGUCGUGAGAUGUUGGGUUAAGUCCCGCAACGAGCGCAACCCUUAUUGUUAGUUGCCAUCAUUAAGUUGGGCACUCCAGCGAGACUGCCGGUAAUAAACCGGAGGAAGGUGGGGAUGACGUCAAAUCAUCAUGCCCCUUAUGACCUGGGCUACACACGUGCUACAAUGGUCGGUACAACGAGUUGCGAGCCGGUGACGGCAAGCUAAUCUCUGAAAGCCGAUCUCAGUUCGGAUUGGAGGCUGCAACUCGCCUCCAUGAAGUCGGAAUCGCUAGUAAUCGCGGAUCAGCACGCCGCGGUGAAUACGUUCCCGGGCCUUGUACACACCGCCCGUCACACCACGAGAGUUUGUAACACCCGAAGUC